GAUGAACGCUGACAGAAUGCUUAACACAUGCAAGUCUACCAAGAAUCACUUCGGUGAGGAAUGGUGGCGGACGGGUGAGUAACGCGUAAAUAAUCUGCCCUUUAGACUGGGAUAUCCUUUGGAAACGAAGGUUAAUACCGGAUAUUAUGAGAUGGACGCAUGUUCAACUUAUGAAAGCUAAAUGCACUAGAGGAGGAGUUUGCGUCCCAUUAGCUAGUUGGUGAGGUAAAGGCUCACCAAGGCCACGAUGGGUAGCCGGCCUGAGAGGGUGAACGGCCACAAGGGAACUGAGACACGGUCCUUACUCCUACGGGAGGCAGCAGUGGGGAAUAUUGGACAAUGGACCAAAAGUCUGAUCCAGCAAUUCUGUGUGCACGAUGAAGGUCUUCGGAUUGUAAGGUGCUUUCAGUAGGGAAGAAAAAAAUGACGGUACCUACAGAAGAAGCGACGGCUAAAUAUGUGCCAGCAGCCGCGGUAAAAC
rnacentral:rRNA from 1 species